AAAAAAACUACAAAAUGUGUUUUCUGAAGAGGGGUGGUGGUGGGGUUAAUAAAAAAUAAAAAUAAUAUAUAUUAUUUUUUUAUUAAAAAAGGGAAUCAAUCAAUGUGCAUGAUGAAACAUAGAUAUUCAAACAAACUAUUCUAAAAAAAAUCUGCAACAAAGCAUGCUGUGAUAUAUGCUAAUAAGGCCCCUCCCACAUAUUUUUCACUCAAGAUAGUUACCGGUAAUGAGCUAAACAUAGUUGAGUAACAACAAACGACUGAAAAUAUUUCUUGAAACAAAUGUCCUGUUCAGUUGUGCUGAAAUGUAGGUAAGGUGACAGACAUUCCUAAGUGUGAUCUGAAUAAAAAGGCGUGGAAAGUUACAUCAAUUUCUAAUAACUAAAUUCAUUUUACAACAAGAUGAUGGUAAAGAGAACAUUUGUGUUUAAAAUCUGAACACUUAUGAUGAAUAUUGAAUAAUAGAUAUUCAAACAAACUAUUCUAAAAAAAAUCAACCUGCAACAAAGCAUGCUGUGAAAUAUGCUAAUGAGGCCCCUCCCACAUAUUUUUCACUCAGCCUUCAGACAAUAAUCUCCUCCACGUGUUCCACAUUUUGUUGUGAUACAGCCUGAAUGUGAUACAGCCUGAAUGUGAUAAAGCCUGAAUGUGAUAAAGCCUGAAUGUGAUAAAGCCUGAAUGUGAUAAAGCCUGAAUGUGAUACAGCCUGAAUGUGAUACUGAUUGGCAAAACUUAAUGCCUAAUGUUUAAGUUUUAAACACUGACGUUUAGGUUAUGGAUGUGUUACAUUACAUGGUUUUAGUGUACACACAAAAAAAAAGAGGGUUCCUCAAGGGUUCUUUGGGAAGGGUGAAGGUUCGAUGUGGAACCAUAAUGACUCAAAGAACCCUUUGAGCUCUUCGAUGGUACUUCACAGUUCACAAACGGAUUCUGUCCUCUUUAAGAGAUCAUUCAGAUGUAGGGUGGUGUGUUUGGACCAUGGUAGUAGAGGUGGACAUUAAAGAAACUCUCAACCCUGCUCCACUAGAAAACUAUUUUCAUCUCAAAGUCAUCUGUCCGACCCGCAGGUCCCUCAGGCAGCCCUCCAGUGCAGUCAGCACACAACACCAUGCUCAUCAUGUCUUAUCAGGAUCAGAUAGUGACAGGGGUCCGAGGGGGGGUCAGACAACCAGGGAAGACAUGUCUACGGAGCUCAGGUGAAUUUUUGCAGUAUGUUAACAAUAUCUUGAAAUUGAUGGGUAGACCUACAGUAUCUACAGGACAGCAGCUUAAAGCUACAGUCUGGGUUCUGGGAAUAACAGUAAUUUCAAUUACUGAACUAUUGAUUCUAUUCUUGGAUAAUAUAACGUAUAAAUGUAUACCAUGGUAGUUCUUUGUCAUGCCUCAUUUUAGGAGGAUCAGAUGGUGACAGGGGUCUCAGCAGGGUCAGACAGCCAGGGAAGACUAGUCUGUGAUGGUGCUGAGGUCAGGCAGGGAAGACUAGUCUGUGAUGGUGCUGAGGUCAGACAGCCAGGGAAGACCAGUCUGUGAUGGUGCUGAGGUCAGACAGCCAGGGAAGACCAGUCUGUGAUGGUGCUGAGGUCAGACAGCCAGGGAAGACCAGUCUGUGAUGGUGCUGAGGUCAGACAGCCAGGGAAGACCAGUCUGUGAUGGUGCUGAGGUCAGUCAGCCAGGGAAGACCAGUCUGUGAUGGUGCUGAGGUCAGACAGGGAAGACUAGUCUGUGAUGGUGCUGAGGUCAGACAGCCAGGGAAGACCAGUCUAUGAUUGUGCUGAGGUCAGGCAGGGAAGACCAGUCUGUGAUGGUGCUGAGGUCAGGCAGGGAAGACCAGUCUGUGAUGGUGCUGAGGUCAGACAGGGAAGACUAGUCUGUGAUGGUGCUGAGGUCAGACAGGGAAGACUAGUCUGUGAUGGUGCUGAGGUCAGACAGGGAAGACUAGUCUGUGAUGGUGCUGAGGUCAGACAGGGAAGACUAGUCUGUGAUGGUGCUGAGGUCAGACAGGGAAGACUAGUCUGUGAUGGUGCUGAGGUCAGACAGGGAAGACCAGUCUGUGAUGGUGCUGAGGUCAGACAGGGAAGACCAGUCUGUGAUGGUGCUGAGGUCAGACAGCCAGGGAAGACCAGUCUGUGAUGGUGCUGAGGUCAGGCAACCAGGGAAGACCAGUCUGUGAUGGUGCUGAG